rnacentral:rRNA from 1 species
GCAUGCAAGUCGAACGAGAAAGCUUCCUUCGGGGAGCAAGUACAGUGGCGAAAGGGUGAGUAAUGUAUGGAUGACUUACCCUCGAGACGGGGACAACAGUUCGAAAGGACUGCUAAUACCCGAUAGUUCCAUAUGCUCAAGGGCUUAUGGAUAAAUGGUGAUUCCGCUCGAGGAGAGGUCCAUAUCCUAUCAGCUUGUUGGCGGGGUAAUGGCCCACCAAGGCUUUGACGGGUAGCCGGACUGAGAGGUUGGCCGGCCACACUGGGACUGAGACACUGCCCAGACUCCUACGGGAGGCUGCAGUCGAGAAUCUUCCGCAAUGGGCGAAAGCCUGACGGAGCGACGCCGCGUGCAGGAGGACGGCCCUCGGGUUGUAAACUGCUGUCACACGUUAAGAAAUUCUGCGUUUAAGCGCAGUUUGACAAAAGCGUGAGAGGAAGUCACGGCUAACUUCGUGCCAGCAGCCGCGGUAAGACGAAGGUGGCGAACGUUGUUCGGAAUUACCGGGCAUAAAGCGCGCGUAGGUGGCUUGGCAUGUCAAUGGUGAAAUCCCACGGCUCGACCAUGGAACUGCCGUUGAAACUGCCUUGCUUGAGGUCAGGAGGGGAGAGUGGAAUUCCAAGUGUAGCGGUGAAAUGCGUAGAUAUUUGGAGGAACGCCGGGGGCGAAAGCGACUCUCUGGACUGAUUCUGACACUGAGGCGCGAAAGCUAGGGGAGCAAACAGGAUUAGAUACCCUGGUAGUCCUAGCUGUAAACGAUGGGCACUAGAUGGAGGGAGUUCCGAUGCUGUCUCUGUCGUAGCUAAUGCGUUAAGUGCCCCGCCUGGGGAGUAUGGUCGCAAGGCAA